AGGCCUAACACAUGCAAGUCGAGCGGUAACAGAAAGAAAGCUUGCUUUCUUUGCUGACGAGCGGCGGACGGGUGAGUAAUGCCUAGGGAUCUGCCCAGUCGAGGGGGAUAACAGUUGGAAACGACUGCUAAUACCGCAUACGCCCUACGGGGGAAAGGAGGGGACCUUCGGGCCUUUCGCGAUUGGAUGAACCUAGGUGGGAUUAGCUAGUUGGUGAGGUAAUGGCUCACCAAGGCGACGAUCCCUAGCUGUUCUGAGAGGAUGAUCAGCCACACUGGGACUGAGACACGGCCCAGACUCCUACGGGAGGCAGCAGUGGGGAAUAUUGCACAAUGGGGGAAACCCUGAUGCAGCCAUGCCGCGUGUGUGAAGAAGGCCUUCGGGUUGUAAAGCACUUUCAGUUGUGAGGAAAGGGUAGUUGCUUAAUACGUAACAUUCUGUGAGCGUUAGCAACAGAAGAAGGACCGGCUAAACUCCGUG
rnacentral:rRNA from 1 species